rnacentral:rRNA from 1 species
UACGGAGGGUGCAAGCGUUAUCCGGAUUCACUGGGUUUAAAGGGUGCGUAGGUGGAUUAGUAAGUCAGUGGUGAAAUCUCCGAGCUUAACUCGGAAACUGCCAUUGAUACUAUUAGUCUUGAAUUAUCUGGAGGUGAGCGGAAUAUGUCAUGUAGCGGUGAAAUGCUUAGAUAUGACAUAGAACACCAAUUGCGAAGGCAGCUCACUACGGAUAUAUUGACACUGAGGCACGAAAGUGCGGGGAUCAAACAGG